GCGUGGGUGAUGAAGGCCUUCGGGUUGUAAAGCCCUUUUGGCGGGGACGAUGAUGACGGUACCCGCAGAAUAAGCCCCGGCUAACUUCGUGCCAGCAGCCGCGGUAAUACGAAGGGGGCUAGCGUUGUUCGGAAUUACUGGGCGUAAAGGGCGCGUAGGCGGCCCUGUCAGUCGGGCGUGAAAGCCCCGGGCUCAACCCGGGAAAUGCGCUCGAUACUGCAAGGCUUGAGUGUGGGAGAGGAUGGUGGAAUUCCCAGUGUAGAGGUGAAAUUCGU
rnacentral:rRNA from 1 species